UACGUAGGGGGCAAGCGUUGUCCGGAAUCAUUGGGCGUAAAGCGCGUGUAGGCGGUUCAGUAAGUCUGCUGUGAAAGUCCAGGCUCAACCCUGGGAUGCCGGUGGAUACUGCUGGGCUGAGAGUACGGAAGAGGCGAGUGGAAUUCCCGGUGUAGCGGUGAAAUGCGCAGAUAUCGGGAAGAACACCAAUGCGAAGGCAAGCUCGCUGGGACGUU
rnacentral:rRNA from 1 species